GGAGAGGUGGCAGAGAGGCUGAAUGCACCGGUUUGCUAAACCGACGUAGUGGUAACAUCCGCUACCGAGGGUUCGAAUCCCUCCCUCUCCG
rnacentral:tRNA from 1 species